GACGAACGCUGGCGGCGUGCUUAACACAUGCAAGUCGAACGGAAAGGCCCUGCUUUUGUGGGGUGCUCGAGUGGCGAACGGGUGAGUAACACGUGAGUAACCUGCCCUUGACUUUGGGAUAACUUCAGGAAACUGGGGCUAAUACCGGAUAGGAGCUCCUGCUGCAUGGUGGGGGUUGGAAAGUUUCGGCGGUUGGGGAUGGACUCGCGGCUUAUCAGCUUGUUGGUGGGGUAGUGGCUUACCAAGGCUUUGACGGGUAGCCGGCCUGAGAGGGUGACCGGCCACAUUGGGACUGAGAUACGGCCCAGACUCCUACGGGAGGCAGCAGUGGGGAAUAUUGCACAAUGGGCGGAAGCCUGAUGCAGCAACGCCGCGUGCGGGAUGACGGCCUUCGGGUUGUAAACCUCUUUCGCUUGUGACGAAGCGUGAGUGACGGAAUUUGAUAAAGAAGCACCGGCUAACUACGUG
rnacentral:rRNA from 1 species